rnacentral:rRNA from 1 species
UGGGGAAUCUUGGACAAUGGGCGCAAGCCUGAUCCAGCCAUGCCGCGUGGAUGAUGAAGGUCUUAGGGUUGUAAAAUCCUUUCGCCGAGGACGAUAAUGACGGUACUCGGAGAAGAAGCUCCGGCUAACUUCGUGCCAGCAGCCGCGGUAAUACGAAGGGGGCUAGCGUUGUUCGGAUUUACUGGGCGUAAAGCGCGUGUAGGCGGGUCGUUAAGUUGGGGGUGAAAUCCCGAGGCUCAACCUCGGAACUGCCUUCAAAACUGGCGACCUGGACCUAAGUAGAGGCAAGUGGAAUUGCGAGUGUAGAGGUGAAAUUCGUAGAUAUUCGUAGGAACACCAGUGGCGAAGGCGACUUGCUGGACUUAUGGUGACGCUGAGACGCGAAAGCGUGGGGAGCAAACAGGAUUAGAUACCCCCGUAGUCCCUGAGCGGGCUGGCAAGGCGCAU